rnacentral:ribozyme from 1 species
UGUAUGUGUUUUUUUUUUUUUUUUUUUUUUUUUUUUUUUUUUUUUUUUUCUCCGAAGCCAGUGAUGGCUAAAAACG